CUAAUUAAACAAUUGGGAUUCUGAGCACUUCUUUGCUCAGAGAAAUGAUUAAUAAUUUCAAAAUUUCAAAAUGUCAAGCUGAUUAUAUAAACCAAAUCACUGAAAUUUUGCAUUUAACUUGGGUCUUGUCUUUGGUCAACAGAAAUAAUGUGAUACCAUGGAUAUACUGUGGAUUUAUUGAAAUGAAGAGCAGUUGCUUCUCUGAUCACCCACAGAUCACAUUUAAAAUGAUUAAUCAUGCAUUACAACAGAUUGGUUAAUUUGGAAAAUUUUAUUAUAUGAGUUUCUAUAUCAUUAUUUUUAUUAUUAUUGCUUUAUUAUAAUUUAUCUCAGAUACAUGAAGUCACUUGGUGCUCUGGUAGCUUUCAUGCGCGUCCGUGUUAAGAGACCACCAAACGGGCUUUGUGUGAGCAAUAAAGCUGUUUAUUUCACCUGGGUGCAGGUGGGCUGAGUCCGAAAAGAGAGUCAGCGAAGGGAGAUAGGGGUGGGGCCGUUUUAUAGGAUUUGGGUAGGUAAAGGAAAAUUACAGUCAAAGGGGGUUUGUUCUCUGGCGGGUAGGAGUGGGGGUCGCAAGGUGCUCAGUGGGGGUGCUUUUUGAGCCAGGAUGAGCCAGGAAAAGGACUUUCACAAGGUAAUGUCAUCACUUAAGGCAAGGACCGGCCAUUUACACUUCUUUUGUGGUGGAAUGUCAUCAGUUAAGGUGGGGCAGGGCAUAUUCACUUCUUUUGUGAUUCUUCAGUUACUUCAGGCCAUCUGGGCGUAUACGUGCAAGUCACAGGGGAUGCGAUGGCUUGGCUUGGGCUCGGAGGCCUGACAUUCCUGCCUUCUUAUAUUAAUAAGAAAAAUAAAACAAAAUAGUGUUGAAGUGUUGGGGCGGCGAAAAUUUUUGAGGGUGGUAUGGAGAGAGAAUGGGCGAUGUUUCUCAGGGCUGCUUCAAGUGGGAUUAGGGGCAGCGUGGGAACCUAGAGAGGGAGAGAUUAAGUUGAAGGGAGGUCUUGUGUAAGCGGUGAUAUUGUGGGGAUGUUAGAAGAAACAUUUGUCAUAUAGAAUGAUUGGUCAUGGCCUGGAUACGGUUUUGGAUGAAUUGAGAAACCAAAUAGAAUAAAAGAAGGAGAAAAACAGGUAUAAAAGGUCUAAGAAUUGGGAUGACUCAGGAUAUCUGAUUAGAGAGUGCCUAAGGAGAUUCAGUAUAGUCCUGCCAGCAAAGAUUAUUUAUUUACUUCAAGAGUUAAGAGUGGCAGUUUGGGGAUAGCACCAGGAGAUAUCAGCUGUGAUGGCUUGGAAAAACAGUGUAAACCGGCAGUGUAAACAAGAGCAGGGCAUGUAUGAGUAGUUGAGAACGGUGAAUAUGAGUAUGACUAGACAGAAGAUAGUGGGGAUGACAAGUUUUUUGGGGCACAGUCUAAGUUGGUCUGGUGUCUGGAAUGAGACUGGGGCCUAAUAAAAAGGAGCGUCUAUACAGGAGCUUAAAUGGGCUGUACCCUGUAGCAUUCUGAGGACAGGCCUGAAUUCUGAGAAGGGAAGGUGGUAAAAGUAUUGUCCAGUCCUUUUUAAGUUGGUGGCUGAGCUUGGUGAGGUGUGUUUUUAAAAGACCUUUAGUCCAUUCUACUUUUCUUGAAGAUGGAGGAUCGUAAGGGAUAUAAAGGUUUCACUGAAUACUAAGAGCCCGAAAAACUGCUUGGCUGAUUUGACUAAUAAAGGCUCAUCUGUUAUCAGACUGUAUUGAGGUGGGAAGGCUAAACUGAGGAAUUAUGUCUGACAGAAUGGAAGAAAUGACUGCGGUGGCCUUCUCAGACCCUGUAGGAAAGGCCUGUACCUAUCCAGUGAAAGUAUCUACCUAGACUAAGAGGUAUUUUAGUUUUCUGACUCGGGGCAUGUUGAGUAAAGCUAAUUUGCCAGUCCUGGGUGGGGCAAAUCCUCGAGCUUGAUGUGUAGGGAAGGGAGGGGGCCUGAAUAAUCCCUGAGGAGUAGUAGAAUAGCAGAUGGAACACUGAGAAGUUAUUUCCUUGAGGAUAGAUUUCCACGAUGGAAAGGAAAUGAGAGGUUCUAAGAGACAGGCUAGUGGCUUGUACUAUAGCAUAACCUGCCUUUGCUGGUAUGUGGCGAUUAGGCCUGGUGGAACCACCAUCAAUAAAUCAAGCGUGAUCAGGUGAGGAACAGGAAAGAAGGAAAUAUAGGGAAAUGGGGUGAAUAUCAGGUGGAUCAGAGAGAUACAGUCAUGGGGGUCAGGUGUGGUAUCAGGAAUAAUGUGGGAGGCCGGAUUGAAGUCUGGGCCAGGAACAACGGUAAUUGUGGGACUUAACAAAGAGUGAGUACAGCUGAAGGAGCCGGGGAGCAGCAGGUAUAUGCGUCAGGUAUGAGGAAGAAAAUAGAUUUUGGAAGUUAUGAGAACUGUAGAGAUUGAGUUGAGCAUAGUUUGUGAUUUUGAGGGCCUCUAAAAGUAUUAGGGCAGCAGCAGCGGCUGCACGGAGACAUGAUGGCCAGCCUGAAACAGUAAGGUCAAGUUGUUUGGACAAAAAGGCUACAGGACGCGAUCCUGGUCCUUACAUAAGAAUUCCGACUGCACAGCCCUGCACUUUGGCUGUGUGUAAUGAAAAGGGUUGGGAUGAGUCAGGGAGAACUAGAGUGGGGGCAAUUUCUAAAGCUGUCUUCAAGGAAUGGAAAGAGGAGUGGGGAAAGGAUUUAGGAUCUAUGGGGUCAGCUAGGUUUCCUUUUGUGAGCUUAUAUAAUGGUUUUGUUAGGAUGGCCAAACCAGGUAUCCAAAGGCGAAAGUAUCCAACCAUGGCCAGGAAGGAAAGGAGUUCUUGUUUUGUAGAAGGGGUUGGGGUUUGAGAGAUCAGUCAGACACGAUUGGCAGGGAGAGCACGUGUGUUUUUAUGAGAAUUAUGCCAAGAUAGGUAACAGAUGAGGAAGAAAUUUGAGCUUGAUUGAAGUAAUGGGGGCUGUCUGUGAAGCUUUGCGGCAGUACAGCCCGGGUAAUUUGCUGAGCUUGAUGGGAGUCAGGGUCAGUCCACGUGAAAGCGAAGAGAGGCUGGGAUUAAUGGUGCAAAGGAAUAGUAAAGAAAGCAUGUUUGAGAUCUAGAACAGAAUAAUGGGUUGUAGAGGCAGGUAUUGAGGAUAGGAGAGUAUAUGGGUUUGGCACCACGGGGUGGACAGACAAAACAAUUUGGUUGAUAAGGCGCAGAUCCUGAACUAACUUGUAAGGCUUGUCUGGUUUUAGGACAGGUGAAAUGGGGGAAUUGUAAGGAGAGUUUAUAGGCUUUAAAAGGCCAUGCUGUAGCAGGCGAGUGAUAACAGGCUUUAAUCUUUUUAAAGCAUGCUGCAGGAUGGAAUAUUGGCAUUGAGUGGGGUAAGGGUGAUUAGGUUUUAAUGAGAUGGUAAGGGGUGCAUGAUCGGUCGCCAAGGAGGGAGUAGAGGUAUCUUAUACUUGUGGGUUAAAGUGGGGGAUAAAAGAGGAGGAUGCAAAGGAGGCUUUGGAUUGGGAAGAAGGGCGGCAAUGAGAUAUAGCUGUAGUCCAGGAAUAGUCAGGGAAGCAGAUAAUUUAGUUAAAGUGUCUCAGCCUAAUAAGGGAACUGGGCAGGUGGGGAUAACUAAAAAGGAGUGCUUAAAAGAGUAUUGUCUAAGUUGGCACCAGAGUUGGGGAGUUUUAAGAGGUUUAGAAGCCUGGCCGUCAAUACCCACAACAGUUCUGGGGGCAAGGGAAACGGGCCCUUGAAAAGAAGGUAAUGUGGAGUGGGUAGCCUCCGUAUUGAUUAAGAAGGGGACGGGCUUACCGUCCACUGUGAGACUUACCCGAAGCUCGGCGUCCGUGAUGGUCUAGGGGGCUUCCGAGGCGAUUGGGCAGUGUCAGUCUUCAGCCUCUAAGCCGAGAAGAUCUGGCAAGGAGUCAGUCAGAGAGCCCUGGGCCAGAGUUCCAGGGGCUCUGGGAGUGGCUGCCAGGUGAGUUGAACAGUCUGAUUUUCAGUGGGGUCCCACACAGAUGGGACGCGGCUUAGGAGGAAUCCCGGGCUGCGGGCAUUCCUUGGCCCAGUGGCCAGAUUUCCAGCACGCGUAGCAAGCUUCUGUGGGAAAAGGUUCUGGAGGAACGCCUGGCCACUGCACUUCAGGCAUUUGGAAGUUCUUAUGUGCUGGAGAUGUGGCUGGGGUUUGUCUCACAGUGGAGGCAAGGAAUUGCAACUUUUUUCUAUUAUUGUACACAUUGAAGGUGAGGUUAAUUAAAUCCUGUUGUGGGGUUUGAGGGCCAGAAUUUAAUUUUUGGAGUUUUAUUUAAUGUUGGGAGCAGACUGGGUAAUAAAAUGCAUUUUGAGAAUAAGACGGCCUUUUGACAUUUUAGGGUCUAGGGCUGUAAAGUGUCUCGGAGUUGCUGCCAAACAAGUCAUGAACUGGGCUGGAUUUUUAUAUUUGAUGUAAAAGCCUAAACGCUAUCUGAUUUGGGAUAAAGAGAAAGGAGCAUUAACCUUGACUAUGCCUUUAGCUCCAGCCACCUUUUUAAGAGUAAAUUGCUGGGCAGGAGGGGGAGGGCUAGUCACGGAACGAAACUGUAAGCCGGACCAGGUGUGAGGAGGGGAGGUGAUAAAAAGAUUAUAGGGUGGAGGAGCAGAGGCUGAGGAAGAAUUGGGACCUAGCUUGGCCUGGCAAGGAGCAGCCUUGGGAGGAAGGGAGAGGUCAGAUGGGUCUGUAGAAAAGGAAGAUUAGAAAGACUCAGCGACGCUUGGGGUUGGUACUGAGGGGACAGGCGGAAGGGAAAGAAGGAAGAUUUGGGAUGAGUUGCACUGGGCACAGAGACUAGGAAAGGACUGAUGUGUAAAAGAAUGCCUGGACAUCAGGCACCUCAGACCGUUUGCCUAUUUUACGACAAGAAUUAUUUAGAUCUUGCAGGAUGGAAAAAUUCAAAGUGCCAUUUUCUGGCUAUUUGGAACUGCUGUCGAGUUUGUACUGGGGUCAAGCGGCAUUGCACAAGAAAAUAAGCCAUUUAGGUUUUAGGUCAGGUGUGAGUUGAAGAGGUUUUAAGUUUUUGAGAACACAGGCCAAGGGAGUAGAAGGAGGAAUGGAGGGUGGAACGUUGCCCGUAGUGAAGGAAGCAAGCCUAGAGAAAAGAGAGAGUAGAGAAACAGAGGGAAGGGGUUCGGGCAUUCUUACCUUCCAGAAAAGUGGGAAAAGGGGUUGGGGUGCAGAGAUAAGAGGUUGGGGCAGGGAAAUAAGGGAUGGGGCGCAGAAAUAAGAGGUUGGGGCAUGGUAUUAAGGGACUGGGGUGCAGAGAUAUAAGAGGUUGGGGCACGGAAAUAAGGGAUUGGGGCACAGAGAUGCGAGGUUGUGGCACGGAAAUAAGGGAUUGGGGCACAGAGAUGUUGGGGCAUGGAAAUAAGGGAUUGGGGGUUCUUGCCCCGUAGAAAAGCGGGACUUGCCGCUAAGGGUGAAGGAGAAGGGGUUGAGGGGUACUUGCCCCUGCCCCAGAAAAGCAGAGAAGGGGUAGAGACAAGGAGAGAAGGGGUUGAGGGGUACUUGCCCCUUCCCCAGAAAAGCGGGACUUGCCGCUAAGGGUGAAGGACCAAGGCAGGCGUCCCUGCGUGGUCUGACACCUUUGAAACAUGGGUGAAUAAUCAGAGGCGUCCCUGCAAUGAUUAAACACCAAGGGAAGACUGCCUUCCCAGUCCGUGACCGGCGCCGGAGUUUUGGGUCCACGGAUAAAACGUGUCUCCUUUGUCUCUACCAGAAAAUACCAGAAAAUGAAAGGAAUUGAAAUUAAGAGAAGGGAGAGAUUGAAGUGUGGCACCAAGAUUGAAAGGAGAAAGAGGUUGAGGGUUAGUGAGGGAGGUUGGAGAAGAGAGUAAAAAGAGGCCGCUUACAGGAUUUGAAAUUGGUGAGAUGUUUCUUGGGCUGGUCGGUCUGAGGACCUGAGGUCGUAGGUGGAUCUUUCUCACGGAGCAAAGAACAGGAGGACGGGGGAUUGAUCUCCCAAGGGAGGUCCCCCGAUCCGAGUCACAGCACCAAAUUUCAUGCGCGUCCCUGUGAAAAGACCACCAAACAGGCUUUGUGUGAGCAGUAAAGCUGUUUAUUUCACUUGGGAGCAGGUGGGCUGAGUCCGAAAAGAGAGUCAGCGAAGGGAGAUAAGGGUGGGGCCGUUUUAUAGGAUUUGGGUAGGUAAAGGAAAAUUGCAGUCAAAGCGGGUUUGUUCUCUGGCAGGCAGGAGUGGGGGUCGCAAGGUGCUCAGUGGGGGUGCUUUUUGAGCCAGGAUGAGCUAGGAAAAGGACUUUCACAAGCAACUGGAUCAUAACAAUCAUGCAAUGAUACAUCAGGACCCUCGACCUCACAACAUUUUGUCUACCAUAUGCUUAAAAGAAGACACAUUGAGAAGACGGCCAUCUAUGAACCAAGAGGGAGGACAUCAGAUCAGCCACCAUUUCGAUCUUGAACUUCCCAGGCUCCAGAAAUAGCUAAAAUUCUAUAAGGGCGAGAAAGACCAUCAACAAUCAACAUAACAGAUAACUACAUUAUGUGAUAUUUUAGAAGUUGAUAGCCUCAUUAAAAAAAGAAAGAAACAGUAGAGCAGAGUAAGGAAGAUAAUAAGAAUCUAGUGGCCAGAAGAGGCAAAUUGUAGUAAUAAAUAAGAAGGUCCAGAUAGGACGCAUUGAGUCAGUGACAUUUGACCAAAAUUUUGAAAGAGAAGAAAUGUUUCACUAAUUGGAUAUCUGCGAGCGGAGCAUUCCAGGCAGAGGGGACUGCAAGAGCAAAGGCGGUUGCUCAGGAGCCUGCUUGCGGAGACAUCAGGAGCAACGUUAGCAAGAAAAAGGAGGAAAGGCAAAUAGGCAUUUACUUUAAGCAUUACAAACUAGCAAAAUGUCCCAACAAUGAAGAAAUACUUACUUUUAAGAAUAAAAUGAAGAAAAUAUGAGAUCUAAGUGAGCAACUGGGAAGUUUACUCCAACAGAUCUGAGUCAACAUUUACAAAUCCCUAUGCUACACUGAAUAGUUCAGAACUUUGGAACUUCAAGACUCUGGUACAUUCAUCAAGAAAAUAUCUCCAUCCAGGUGUCUGGAUGGGCAGUUUGCAGCUCUUCUGCAGUGGGCCAUUUGCAGCUUUUCUCAGGGGAAAGGCUACACUGUGGGGCUUCUUCAAUCUCAACACACAGAAGAGUAACUGCUAUUGAAUUCACAUUUAAAACAUAGCUAUAUUUUCCAAAUCAGUUUUCCAUGCUAUCAUUUUAUUUGCACUUCAUAAAAAUACCAUAAAGUAGAAAGGACUGAAAAGUAUCAUAUUUAACUUAGGAGGGGGUGAAGGAUACUGGUUGAGUGCAAGGGUGUUGGAGUAGGAAAGACUGAGUCUGAAUCCCAGCUUUGUCAUUUACUGUUUCUUUCUGUAAGUUAUAUAUUCUUUUUUUUUCCUCAGUUCCCCAUUUAUAAAAUAGAAAAAAUGGCACCACCUACUCAUAAGUUUGUUUUGAGAAAUACAGUGUAUGAUACCUGUUAAACACAUUGGAUAAUGCCCAGAUGUAUUAUAUAUUCAAUAAAUGAAAAUUGUUAUUUAUGUUAAUAGUAUUGCUUUUGAAUGGAAAAAUGAUACACAGAGAAGUUAAAAUGAUGUGAAAAAAGCCAAGAGCUGGUUAAUAGCAUAGUUGAAUUUAGAAGUCACUUUAAUUCCUGUAUCCCUAACCUACAAUAUUUCCCUAACCUAUGACAGUAUGUGAUUAAGUGCAAAAUAUAUAGAUAAUAAAAAGUUACAUAAAAGUUUGCAUGACAUGGACAAUCGUAUACUCCAUGUAUUCUACCUUGGAAAACCAAUGAUAAUUCUAAAUUUUACUUGAAGUUUCCUAGCUCCAUAAGCUGUUUACUAGAUAGAAAUCUUUUGUUAUGUAUUUGAAAAAUCAGAUAAUCUAAAAUGUAUCCCCUGGUUGUGACCUGAACUUCUUCGGUCUCAGUGGACAUAAAUAUUCCAAUCUUGUGUACAGUUUAUCUUUGAAUAUAAAUAAAUAUAUGGUUUCUCA
rnacentral:lncRNA from 10 species